rnacentral:rRNA from 1 species
GAUGAACGCUGGCGGCGUGCCUAAUACAUGCAAGUCGAGCGAACAGAUGAGGAGCUUGCUCCUCUGACGUUAGCGGCGGACGGGUGAGUAACACGUGGAUAACCUACCUAUAAGACUGGGAUAACUUCGGGAAACCGGAGCUAAUACCGGAUAAUAUAUUGAACCGCAUGGUUCAAUAGUUAAAGACGGUUUUGCUGUCACUUAUAGAUGGAUUCGCGCCGCAUUAGCUAGUUGGUAAGGUAACGGCUUACCAAGGCAACGAUGCGUAGCCGACCUGAGAGGGUGAUCGGCCACACUGGAACUGAGACACGGUCCAGACUCCUACGAGAGGCAGCAGUAGGGAAUCUUCCGCAAUGGGCGAAAGCUUGACGGAACAACGCCGCGUGAGUGAUGAAGGUCUUCGGAUCGUAAAACUCUGUUAUUAGGGAAGAACAAAUGUGUAAGUAACUAUGCACGUCUUGACGGUACCUAAUCAGAAAGCCACGGCUAACUACGUG